GUAGGUGGCAAGCGUUGUCCGGAAUUAUUGGGGCGUAAAGCGCGCGCAGGCGGUCCUUUAAGUCUGAUGUGAAAGCCCACGGGCUCAACCGUGGGAGGGGUCAUUGGAAACUGGGGGACUUGAGUGCAGAAGAGGAGAGUGGAAUUCCACGUGUAGCGGUGAAAUGCGUAGAGAUGUGGAGGAACACCAGUGGCGAAGGCGACUCUCUGGUCUGUAACUGACGCUGAGGCGCGAAAGCGUGGGGAGCGAACAGGAUUAGAUACCCUGGUAGUCCACGCCGUAAACGAUGAGUGCUAAGUGUUAGAGGGUUUCCGCCCUUUAGUGCUGCAGCUAACGCAUUAAGCACUCCGCCUGGGGAGUACGGUCGCAAAGACUG
rnacentral:rRNA from 1 species